rnacentral:rRNA from 1 species
UACGAAGGGGGGCGAGCGUUGUCCGGAGUUACUGGGCGUAAAGGGUGCGCAGGCGGCGGUUCGCGUGGCGAGAUGAAAUCUCCUGGCUUACCUGGGAGGGUGGUCGCCAGACGGGAUCGCUUGAGGGUCGGAGAGGGGCGCGGAAUUCCGGGUGGAGCGGUGAAAUGCGUAGAUAUCGUCUGGAACGCCGAAGGUGAAAACAGCUCGCUGGGGCCGCGCUGCGCUGAGACAGAAAGCCGGGGAGCGAACGGG